UCUAAACCAUGAAACCCACGGAGCAUUUUAGCAUUUCACCUUCACCCAUUCCCCAUCCACUCUUAGUCGUCGUUCUUCUCCUUUUCUCCUAGCUAGGACGACGAGAAAUCGACAAACUUCAAGGCAAAUUUAUAUAAUUUUGUAAAUCCGAAGAAGUUGAGUGAUCAAUUGGAUAUGGCGAGCGCGGUAGAUGCUGCUGGGAAUCCGAUCCCGACCUCGGCUGUCUUGAUGGCUUCAUCGAAGCACAUAGGAAUAAGAUGCCAUUCGGAGAAUGUGGAAUUCCUGAAAUGCAAGAAGAAUGAUCCAAAUCCAGACAAAUGCCUCGACAAAGGUCGUGAAGUUACUCGAUGCGUCCUUGGCCUGCUCAGGGAUCUACACCAAAAGUGCACAAAGGAGAUGGAUGAAUAUGUUGGAUGCAUGUACUACCACACAAACGAAUUUGACUUGUGUCGCAAAGAGCAGCAAACAUUUGAGAAAGCAUGCUCCUUGGAAUGAAAGUAUGCAUUUUCCUUGUUGACAAUAAACACACAGGCCAGCAAAUCUUAGAGCGUGAAGGACUGAAGGUCAUUCUAUCAAAUUACAGCUGUGCAAGUAGUUCAAUGGUCUGACAAACCCGGUCCUAUCUGAGCCAUUCAGGCUUUUGGGUCGAGCAUCUUUCUAGUGUGAAUCUCAACCCUACACUAUCCAUGUGGAGCCCUGCAUCAAACCAAACCAAAUGCAACCUUAAAUCAGUUUUAUAUAUAGCCACGUACCAUAGUUGAUGGGAUUUUCCUAAACAGAAUUACUAUUGAAGUGUUGGGUUCCGACUAGAGCUGGUUAAUGAAGAAUUUAAAUAUAGAACUGAAAAAAAGUUGCUUUA